AUUGAACGCUGACGGCAGGCCUAACACAUGCAAGUCGAGCGAGCGGCGGACGGGUGAGUAAAGUAUGGGACACUGCCUGAUGGAGGGGGAUAAAUACUUGAAACGGUAGCUAAAACCGCAUAACAUCAGAUGUGCCCAGGUGGGAUUAGCUAGUAGGGGGGGUAACGGCUCACCUAGGCGAAGAUCCCUAGCUGGUCUGAGAGGAUGACCAGCCACACUGGAACUGAGACACGGUCCAGACUCCUACGGGAGGCAGCAGUGGUGAAUAUUGCACAAUGGGCGCAAGCCUGAUGCAGCCAUGCCGCUUGUGUGAAGAAGGCCUUCGGGUUGUAAAGCACUUUCAGCGGGGAGGCGUUACCCGCAGAAGAAGCACCGGCUAACUCCGUGCCAGCAGCCGCGGUAAUAC
rnacentral:rRNA from 1 species